rnacentral:rRNA from 1 species
AUUGAACGCUGGCGGCAGGCCUAACACAUGCAAGUCGAACGGUAACAGGAAGCAGCUUGCUGCUUUGCUGACGAGUGGCGGACGGGUGAGUAAUGUCUGGGAAACUGCCUGAUGGAGGGGGAUAACUACUGGAAACGGUAGCUAAUACCGCAUAACGUCGCAAGACCAAAGAGGGGGACCUUCUGGCCUCUUGCGAUCGGAUGUGCCCAGAUGGGAUUAGCUAGUAGGUGGGGUAACGGCUCACCUAGGCGACGAUCCCUAGCUGGUCUGAGAGGAUGACCAGCCACACUGGAACUGAGACACGGUCCAGACUCCUACGGGAGGCAGCAGUGGGGAAUAUUGCACAAUGGGCGCAAGCCUGAUGCAGCCAUGCCGCGUGUAUGAAGAAGGCCUUCGGGUUGUAAAGUACUUUCAGCGGGGAGGAAGGGAGUAAAGUUAAUACCUUGGCUCAUUGACGUUACCCGCAGAAGAAGCACCGCCUAACUCCGUG